rnacentral:misc_RNA from 1 species
ACACACAUCUCUCCUCUCCCCUCUCGCUCUCUGCGCUCUCGUGUGUUUUAGCCACUGUCUCCCCACGUGCGGAGUUUGCUGUUCUCUUGUGCAUGCGCUACGGGAUAUGCUCAGGCGACUGCGACAUGCACGCUGUAUGUCGGUCCUCAUCAUUAGUCGGAAUGUGUGGGGUAUGCAUGUAUAGAUGUAUAUGUAUGUGUGGAGCCCGGAAGAUUGGUGGCUAACGCUUGCAGAGAGUAUGGCGGACGCUUUUCUGCACCGUAGAGAAGACAACCGAAUAGGAAAAGUUUAGGACGAGUGCGGGCCAUGCCUGCUUUUCUUGUGCGAUUCACGUUUCGGCGGCAAAGGGGGUGCAAAAAUGAAAGCAGAAGGUCUGCCAAGUCUUUUUUUUUUCGUACGAAAAACGUGUCGCCUGCCGAUGCAGGUGAGACGCGCUGAUGAGCGCUUUCUAUAGAGCAUGUGUGUCACCUCCAUGGCAUCACUGACAGAGCGAACCGAGUCAGCAAAGAUGUUGUCCUCGACAGGUCGUAAUUCGCUCCUUUUUUUCUCCCCCACCCGUCUGCCGCGCGCAUCGGUGCGUGCUUACUUGUGCUUGGCUCACGCUGUAGCGCAGCCUUUCCGCUGCCGCCUAUGACGGGCAUAAGGACUGUAGUUUCUCGGUGAGUGCGCAUGUGCAACGAUAACGUGAGCUGACUGGCAUAUACACACGCACAAGCACACGUAUGCGACAACAAAGAAAAAGCCAAACACCUUUUUCACGGAUGCGCCAGUGCUUUUCUUGCUCCCCUUCUCGUCUCUUUGCCUAAACCCCCUUUUUCUUUCUCCCUUUCGUUGCUUAACGCACAUGUAUGCGGGCGGCCGGCACACGCGCACGCGCUCUUUGUGCAUUGCCGCCACGAGUUUGGCGCGACGGCAUGCACUAUUUCUCCUUUUUUUUCGCGUGUCUUGCUGUUCUACUCUGACGUUUCUCUAUCCGCGCAACACCCACGGGCAGCCAACAAGCGGGGGGGGAAUGUGUGAGAGCGAAGAGACUGCGCAUCAUUACCAGCACGCGUUCUUUUUUUCGUGUUGUUAUUCGCUGCCCGUCUUUUCAUUGAACCGAGCCCUGCCAUCAGAUUGCGGUGCUAGAGAGGCAGAUGAAGAGCCGAUUCGCGUGCCCUUCCGUGUACCCCCUUCUUCUUGCCUGCCACUCUGUUUUUUUUUUCUCUCCCUGCAUGCCCUCCCUCUCACUUGCUUAG